rnacentral:rRNA from 1 species
AGUGAACGCUGGCGGUAGGCCUAACACAUGCAAGUCGAACGGCAGCACAGUAAGAGCUUGCUCUUACGGGUGGCGAGUGGCGGACGGGUGAGGAAUACAUCGGAAUCUACUUUUUCGUGGGGGAUAACGUAGGGAAACUUACGCUAAUACCGCAUACGACCUACGGGUGAAAGCAGGGGAUCUUCGGACCUUGCGCGAUUGAAUGAGCCGAUGUCGGAUUAGCUAGUUGGCGGGGUAAAGGCCCACCAAGGCAACGAUCCGUAGCGGGGCUGAGAGGAUGAUCAGCACCAAUGGAAAUGAGACACGGUCCAGACUCCUACGGGAGGCAGAAGGGGGGAAUAUUGGACAAGGGGGGCAAGCCUGAUAAAGACAUACCGCGUGGGUGAAGAAGGCCUUCGGGUUGUAAAGCCCUUUUGUUGGGAAAGAAAAGCAGCAGGUUAAUACCCCGCUGUUCUGACGGUACCCAAAGAAUAAGCACCGGCUAACUUCGU